rnacentral:rRNA from 1 species
UAGGGAAUCUUCCGCAAUGGACGAAAGUCUGACGGAGCAACGCCGCGUGAGUGAUGAAGGCUUUCGGGUCGUAAAACUCUGUUGUUAGGGAAGAACAAGUGCUAGUUGAAUAAGCUGGCACCUUGACGGUACCUAACCAGAAAGCCACGGCUAACUACGUGCCAGCAGCCGCGGUAAUACGUAGGUGGCAAGCGUUAUCCGGAAUUAUUGGGCGUAAAGCGCGCGCAGGUGGUUUCUUAAGUCUGAUGUG